rnacentral:rRNA from 1 species
AUUGAACGCUGGCGGCAGGCCUAACACAUGCAAGUCGAACGAGUGGCGGACGGGUGUGUAGUGUCUGGGAAACUGCCUGAUGGAGGGGGAUAACUACUGGAACCGGUAGCUAAUACAGCAUACCAUCGGAUGUGCCCAGAUGGGAUUAGCUAGUAGGUGGGGUAAAGGCACACAAAGGCGACGAUCCCUAGCUGGGCUGAGAGGAUGACCAGCCACACUGGGACUGAGACACGGUCCAGACUCCUAGGGGAGGCAGCAGUGGGGAAUAUUGCACAAGGGGCGAAAGCCUGAUGCAGCCAUGCCGCGUGUGUGAAGAAGGCCUUCGGGUUGUAAAGCACUGUCAGCGGGGAGGCGUUACCCGCAGAAGAAGCACCGGCUAACUCCGUGCCAGCAGCCGCGGUAAUUC